rnacentral:tRNA from 1 species
GUGCCCUGUAUUUGCUUGAUGGUUUGUGGUCUCCGAAGCCGCAUAUCCAGGUUCGAUUCCUGGCGGGCGCACCA